rnacentral:lncRNA from 1 species
UUGUAUCUAAAUCCAUUGGGCCUCGACAUGUGAAGUGCGAGUACAUUUCCAGGAUAAACAGCAACCUAACAAUUUCGAGGAUAGGUUAGAUAUCUGGAUGAAUUGCAUUUUUUUUUUAAUUUUUGUAGAAUCUGGUCAUAUGCCACAGGGGCUUACCUUCUGUAUAGUAACGGGCUUGAUGCUUGAUCUAAGCAGCCUCGUCAAUCUUUCACAUAAAUAAAGGGUAACUGGAACUGCCAAGUACAUCCAGGUCUGCCAAUUUCCAAAAAAAAAAUAAAAUUUGAGAUUUCAUUAAAUAAUUGCCAUUACUGAAUUUCAGGAAUUUGAAGUGAUCAUUGCUUACCGUUUUCUUGUACCAUUUCUGGGUCAGGAAGAGCUUCAUUCCAUGCACAAUGAGGAGAGUGUAAACAAUGACAAAUAGAUGGUGAGAGUACCAGAAGGCAUUGAAGCCAGUGAGCUUCUUCAGAGGCUUGGGAAGGUCCAUCCUACCCCGCCUGAAGCAAGGCGCAGCUAGCGUGAAAGC